GGCCUUCUGGGUUGUAAACUGCUUUUGUCAGGGGAUAAAAAGCUCGUGCGCGAGAAAUUGAAUGUACCUGGCGAAUAAGCCACGGCUAACUACGUGCCAGCAGCCGCGGUAAUACGUAGGUGGCAAGCGUUGUCCGGAUUUAUUGGGUUUAAAGGGUGCGUAGGCCGGUCCUGUAAGUCAGUGGUGAAAUACGGCAGCUCAACUGUCGAGGUGCCAUUGAUACUGCGGGACUUGAGUGUUGAUGAGGUAGGCGGAAUUGACGGUGUAGCCGGUGAAAUGCUUAGAUAUCGUCAAGAACACCGAUAGCGAAGGCAGCUUACCAAGCAACAACUGACGCUGAGGCACGAAAGUGUGGGGAUCAAACAGGAUUAGAUACCCUGGUAGUCC
rnacentral:rRNA from 1 species